UUAUCAACCGUAAAGUGUAGAAAAUAUUUAUAAACCAACAUGUUAAUCUUAAGACUGCACUUGUUUAUACCAGACGAUGAGGUGGUUUUUUCAUAAUGAAAUAUUUAGAUGUAGUUCAAACUGCCAAGGAUAACACUUGACAGAUGCCGUAACCGAGCAAUCGAUUCUGUGAUCAUUUUCAUCGAGUUCUAAUAGCGGCGUUCUUUACGAUGACAGAUCAAACUAUGGAGUACAGGAAAAAACGCACAUUUUCCCUUGAAUUGGACGAUCCAUUUUUGUUGCAAGGCAUUCGAAUUUCCUCAGUACAAGGAAUUAUACUAGCAAUGGUCUUUGCCGUUGUUGUGGCGAGUGCGUUUCCAUACCUUGAAUUUCAUCA